GGUAGAAUUCUCGCCUGCCACGC
rnacentral:piRNA from 2 species